CCUACGGGUGGCAGCAGUGAGGAAUAUUGGUCAAUGGACGAGAGUCUGAACCAGCCAAGUAGCGUGAAGGAUGACUGCCCUAUGGGUUGUAAACUUCUUUUAUAUGGGAAUAAAAUGUUCCACGUGUGGGAUUUUGUAUGUACCAUAUGAAUAAGGAUAGGCUAACUCCGUGCCAGCAGCCGCGGUAAUACGGAGGAUCCGAGCGUUAUCCGGAUUUAUUGGGUUUAAAGGGAGCGUAGGUGGAUUGUUAAGUCAGUUGUGAAAGUUUGCGGCUCAACCGUAAAAUUGCAGUUGAAACUGGCAGUCUUGAGUACAGUAGAGGUGGGCGGAAUUCGUGGUGUAGCGGUGAAAUGCUUAGAUAUCACGAAGAACUCCGAUUGCGAAGGCAGUUCACUGGACUGCAACUGACACUGAGGCUCGAAAGUGUGGGUAUCAAACAGGAUUAGAUACCCUAGUAGUC
rnacentral:rRNA from 1 species